UACAUAGGGGGCAAGCGUUGUUCGGAAUUACUGGGCGUAAAGGGCGCGUAGGCGGCCUUCUAAGUCGAACGUGAAAUCCCUGGGCUCAACCCAGGAACUGCGUUCGAUACUGGAAGGCUUGAAUCCGGGAGAGGGAUGCGGAAUUCCAGGUGUAGCGGUGAAAUGCGUAGAUAUCAGGAGGAACACCGAUGGCGAAGGCAGGUCUAUGGGCUGACACUGACGCUCAUGCACGAAAGCGUGGGGAGCAAACAGG
rnacentral:rRNA from 1 species